rnacentral:misc_RNA from 1 species
AUGUCGUAACAAGGUUUCCGUAGGUGAACCUGCGGAAGGAUCAUUACAGAGCGUGAGGCUCAGUCGUGGCAUCUGCCGCGUGCUGGGCCGACCCUCCCACCCGUGUCGAUUUGUAUCUUGUUGCUUUGGCGGGCCGGGUCGCGUCACCGCAUGUUCUUGCGACAUGCAUCGACCGCCCACCGGCUUCGGCUGGAGCGCGUCCGCCAAAGACCUAAGCAAAACUCAUGUUGUCUUUGUAGUCUAAGCUUUAUUAUUGAAUUGACAAAA